rnacentral:lncRNA from 1 species
CCCUGCUCCACAGCUUCUGAUUUAAUUAAAACAAGACAGAUGGAGUGCAGCGCGUUAGUCUGUGUUCACCUGGGUUUUCUUUGUCAUCUCAGGAAAGCGAAGGAAGAAAGGGAGAGUGUCUGGAAACCAACAUUAAGCAUUAUGGUCAAAAUUUCCUCAACAGGCCUCAAGUAUUGCACAGAGAAGAAUUACAAGACUACCUCUGCAACUCUUCCCAAGCACUAUGAGGAAGGGGACACCACCAUGCCUUUUCCUGACAUAUGUAGAAACCUGCUGGACCCUUGAUACUCCUCAAUUAUAUUCCCCGUAAUCUGCAAGAAUAGUUGUUAUUCUUUCUGUUUGUUGUUGUUGGUGGUGGGGUUUUUUUUGUUUGUUUGUUUUUGUUUUUUUUCUUCUUAAAUAGUUUACUUGCCAGGUAGGCUUAUAAAUAUCCCCAGUGUCUCACUCCUCUAUGAAACACACAUAGAUCUUUAGGCAAGAUGUUUAACAUUGCUGUGCUUCUUUAGCUAUUACACUAGUGCAUGCUAGCUAUAGAAAGAUAUAUAAAGAUCUCAGUUAUCUACCUAGACUAGAACCUCUCUCCCUCACUGAUUUCUCGACAGCUGUGUGAGAGUUAGCAGCAUCCAGACAACUACAACUGGCAUAGAGUAUGUAGGACAAUGAACAUAUUAACAGCGUACAUGUCAGGAAGAGAACCCUGAUGGCUUGUUAGUAUUUUAGACAAACAAUACCAGUAACAAUUGAGUAUAUUUAACAAAGGCCAAACAAAUAGUUCACAACUCAAGGAGAAAAAUAACCUAAGGCUUGUGGCUUUGGUUUGUGUGGAACAGCUCUCUAUUUCUAACUAACACGAUGAGGUCAUACACACUGAGGAUAUACCAGUGACUUUGGCUUAGCUUCUUUUCAAAGCAAGAGAGCAGUCUCCCAG